rnacentral:lncRNA from 1 species
UGAGGCCUGGCUCAGAGAGAAAAAACAGCAGCAGGAUCAACUUCCCAAGUAUGCCACACCUGUUCUCUUGUCAGCUGAUGUGAGGAAGAAGGCUGAAGCACUUGACAGGUACACCACUAUUUCACCUGUAAAAGGUUUUGCUUCCAGCAUCCAAGUUCGAACGUUCAGUUUUUUAUUAUGCAUGUAUAUGGAUGUCAAUAUUAUGAUGAUACUAACAUAACUUUGACUUGGUUGUGAGUGUUUGAUAUAUGCAUGUGUUGGAGACGGGUAUGGUUAAAUUUCUUUGUAUUUGGAAAAAUCUUGAAGGUCGUAUCUUUAUAUGCCCUUGUGUCGGAUGUAUGUGUUAAGACGGGAGUAUUUUAAUAAAAAUGAAGUGUCGAACCAAAUACUUUUGCCAAGAUUUGAAUUCUGCCUUCAACAGGUUUUGCAGGCCAAUAAUGAUGAAACCUAAACCGGCUAAACCAGCCACACCUGAAGCACCGGAAACCCCACCACAUCCUGGAAGUGAGGCUCAACCACAGGGUGCAAACAGCCCGAAAGCAAGCCCUAACCGCAAUGGUGACCCCAGUGAAAAUGUGCCGGCAGGAAGUGGUGAGGCACCUCCAGCAUCCGCAGAACCA